GGUUAAGUGACUAAGCGUACACGGUGGAUGCCCUGGCAGUCAGAGGCGAUGAAGGACGUGCUAAUCUGCGAAAAGCGUCGGUAAGGUGAUAUGAACCGUUAUAACCGGCGAUGUCCGAAUGGGGAAACCCAGUGCAAUUCGUUGCACUAUCGUUAACUGAAUACAUAGGUUAACGAGGCGAACCGGGGGAACUGAAACAUCUAAGUACCCCGAGGAAAAGAAAUCAACCGAGAUUCCCCCAGUAGCGGCGAGCGAACGGGGAGCAGCCCAGAGUCUGAAUCAGCUUGUGUGUUAGUGGAACGGUCUGGAAAGUCCGACGGUACAGGGUGAUAGUCCCGUACACCAAAAUGCACAGGUUGUGAACUCGAAGAGUAGGGCGGGACACGUGGUAUCCUGUCUGAAUAUGGGGGGACCAUCCUCCAAGGCUAAAUACUCCUGACUGACCGAUAGUGAACCAGUACCGUGAGGGAAAGGCGAAAAGAACCCCGGCGAGGGGAGUGAAAAAGAACCUGAAACCGUGUACGUACAAGCAGUGGGAGCACCUUCGGGUGUGACUGCGUACCUUUUGUAUAAUGGGUCAGCGACUUAUAUUCUGUAGCAAGGUUAACCGUAUAGGGGAGCCGCAGGGAAACCGAGUCUUAACUGGGCGUUAAGUUGCAGGGUAUAGACCCGAAACCCGGUGAUCUAGCCAUGGGCAGGUUGAAGGUUGGGUAACACUAACUGGAGGACCGAACCGACUAAUGUUGAAAAAUUAGCGGAUGACUUGUGGCUGGGGGUGAAAGGCCAAUCAAACCGGGAGAUAGCUGGUUCUCCCCGAAAGCU
rnacentral:rRNA from 1 species